AGAGGGUGCGAGCGUUAAUCGGAAUGACUGGGCGUAAAGGGCGCGUAGGUGGUUAUAUAAGAGAGGUGUAAAAGUCCCGGGCUCAACCUGGGAAGGCCAUCUGAGACUGUAUAACUAGAGAGCAGUAGAGGUAAGGGGAAUUUCCGGUGUAGCGGUGAAAUGCGUAGAGAUCGGAAGGAACACCAGAGGCGAAGGCGCCUUACUGGACUGCAUCUGACACUGAGGCGCGAAAGCGUGGGUAGCAAACAGGGAUUAGAUACCCUGGUAGUCCACGCCGUAAACGAUGAGAACUAGCUGUUGGUUUCGUAAAGGAAUCAGUAGCGCAGCUAACGCGUUAAGUUCUCCGCCUGGGGAGUACGCCGCAAGGUUA
rnacentral:rRNA from 1 species